rnacentral:rRNA from 1 species
UUCGGAUUGUAGUCUGCAACUCGACUACAUGAAGCUGGAAUCGCUAGUAAUCGCGGAUCAGAAUGCCGCGGUGAAUACGUUCCCGGGUCCUUGUACACACCGCCCGUCACACCAUGAGAGUUGGGAAUACCCGAAGCCUGUGAGCUAACUAUACGAGGCAGCAGUCGAAGGUAGAAUCAAUGAUUGGGGUGAAGUCGUAACAAGGUACC